rnacentral:rRNA from 1 species
GAUGAACGCUGGCGGCGUGCCUAAUACAUGCAAGUCGAGCGAACGGACGAGACGCUUGCUUCUCUGAUGUUAGCGGCGGACGGGUGAGUCACACGUGUAUAACCUACCUAUAUGACUGGGAUCACUUCGGGAAACCGGCGCUAAUACCGUAUAAUAUUUUGCACCGCAUGGUUCAAAAGUGAAAGUCGGUCUUGCUGUCACUUAUAGCUGGAUCCGCGCUGCAUUAGCUAGUUGGUAAGGUAACGGCUUACCAAGGCAACGAUGCAUAGACGACGUGAGAGGGUGAUCGGCCACACUGGAACUGAGACACGGUCCAGACUCCUACGGGAGGCAGCAGUAGGGAAUCUUCCGCAAUGGGCGAAAGCCUGACGGAGCGACGCCGCGUGAGUGAUGAAGGUCUUCGGAUCGUAAAACUCUGUUAUUAGGGAAGAACAGAUGUGGAAGGAACUGUGCACAUCUUGACGGUACCGAAUCAGAAAGCCACGGCUAACUACGUG